rnacentral:rRNA from 1 species
UACAGAGGGGGCAAGCGUUGUUCGGAAUUACUGGGCGUAAAGGGCGCGUAGGCGGCCUGUUAAGUCGAACGUGAAAUCCCCGGGCUCAACCCGGGAACUGCGUCCGAUACUGGCAGGCUUGAAUUCGGGAGAGGGAUGCGGAAUUCCAGGUGUAGCGGUGAAAUGCUUAGAUAUGACAUAGAACACCAAUUGCGAAGGCAGCUUACUACACAAUGAUUGACACUGAGGCACGAAAGCGUGGGGAUCAAACAGG